AGAGUUUGAUUCUGGCUCAGAUUGAACGCUGGCGGCAGGCCUAACACAUGCAAGUCGAGCGGUAACAGAAAGGAAGCUUGCUUUCUUUGCUGACGAGCGGCGGACGGGUGAGUAAUGCCUGGGAAUAUGCCUUAGUGUGGGGGAUAACUAUUGGAAACGAUAGCUAAUACCGCAUAAUGUCUUCGGACCAAAGAGGGGGACCUUCGGGCCUCUCGCGCUAAGAUUAGCCCAGGUGGGAUUAGCUAGUUGGUGAGGUAAAGGCUCACCAAGGCAACGAUCCCUAGCUGGUCUGAGAGGAUGAUCAGCCACACUGGAACUGGGACACGGUCCAGACUCCUACGGGAGGCAGCAGUGGGGAAUAUUGCACAAUGGGGGAAACCCUGAUGCAGCCAUGCCGCGUGUAUGAAGAAGGCCUUCGGGUUGUAAAGUACUUUCAGUCGUGAGGAAGGGUGUGUAGUUAAUAGCUGCAUGCCUUGACGUUAGCGACAGAAGAAGCACCGGCUAACUCCGUGCCAGCAGCCGCGGUAAUACGGAGGGUGCGAGCGUUAAUCGGAAUUACUGGGCGUAAAGCGCAUGCAGGCGGUCUGUUAAGCAAGAUGUGAAAGCCCGGGGCUCAACCUCGGAACCGCAUUUUGAACUGGCAGACUAGAGUCUUGUAGAGGGGGGUAGAAUUUCAGUGUAGCGGUGAAAUGCGUAGAGAUCUGAAGGAAUACCGGGUGGCGAA
rnacentral:rRNA from 1 species